ensembl:lncRNA
CUGGCUCAAGAGGGACAAACGGUUUUCUAAUUUGUCAAGCGACGGUAUUUUGGGAGUAGCCCAGGAGCAAACUGAACCCAUGUAUGUGGACACCGUCACACACAGGUGUCAGGAGCAAGCUUAGGUAGCGGUCUUCCAGAAACAAGCGCUGUCACAUGGAGAUAUGGCCGUGUGGGAACACUAACCCUAUAAAAAAGAGGACCUGAGCCCUAGGAUCAUGACUCAGGACUACCUGGCUUUGACUCCUAGCUAUCCCAGUCCACCUGGUCGUGCUGCUGCUCCAGUUUCUACUGUUCUGCCUACAGCUAGGGAACCCUGACCUGUUCACCGGAUGUGCUACCUUGUCCCGGACCUACUGUUUUUCGACCUUCUCCUCCUCUCUACCACACUUGCUGUCUCGACAUCUGAAUGCUUGGCUAUGAAAAGCCAACGGACAUUUACUCCUGAGCUCACGCGACGCAAGCAGUAUGGUCAGCAUGUAAGUGGCAAAUUGUUGGGCCCAGGAGUGAGAGCGAAGGAAUCAAGGCCCA